rnacentral:misc_RNA from 1 species
ACGUAUCCACGUUAUCAACCAACUGUGAACUCGUUCUCAACCCUCAUCUCCCUGAUUCCGUUCGUACAUGAUUUCUCGCAAGGGAAGUGUAGUACGAGUAGUUUCAGGCAACAAACACAAUAAUUAACAAAUUUCACCCCCUUUUUGCUAGUUGACUUUUAUAUGUUGCAACGUACUAUCGAAUUGCUUCGGCGAAUCGGCAUGCUCUGCACACGUUUAUCUAUUUGAACGUUAAAAUUACAACUCUUAGCAAUGGAUAUCUUGGUUCU